rnacentral:rRNA from 1 species
UACGAAGGGGGCUAGCGUUGUUCGGAUUUACUGGGCGUAAAGCGCACGUAGGCGGAUCGAUCAGUCAGGGGUGAAAUCCCAGAGCUCAACUCUGGAACUGCCUUUGAUACUGUCGAUCUGGAGUAUGGAAGAGGUGAGUGGAAUUCCGAGUGUAGAGGUGAAAUUCGUAGAUAUUCGGAGGAACACCAGUGGCGAAGGCGGCUCACUGGUCCAUUACUGACGCUGAGGUGCGAAGGCCAGGGGAGCAAACGGG